rnacentral:rRNA from 1 species
GCAUAACGCGAAGAACCUUACCUGGCCUUGACAUUGAUAGAAUCUGCUAGAGAUAGCGGAGUGCCCUUCGGGGAGCUUGAAAACAGGUGCUGCACGGCUGUCGUCAGCUCGUGUCGUGAGAUGUUGGGUUAAGUCCCGCAACGAGCGCAACCCUCGUCACUAGCUACUAACGGUUCGGCCGAGGACUCUAGUGAGACUGCCUUCGUAAGGAGGAGGAAGGUGAGGACGACGUCAAGUCAUCAUGGCCCUUACGGCCAGGGCGACACACGUGCUACAAUGGGAUGUACAAUGAGACGCAAUACCGCGAGGUGGAGCAAAUCUAUAAAACAUCUCUCAGUUCGGAUUGUAGUCUGCAACUCGACUACAUGAAGCUGGAAUCACUAGUAAUCGUAGAUCAGCCAUGCUACGGUGAAUACGUUCCCGGGUCUUGUACACACCG